rnacentral:rRNA from 1 species
AUUGAACGCUGGCGGCAUGCCUAACACAUGCAAGUCGAACGGAGGUAGGGGCAACUCUACUUCAGUGGCGGACGGGUGAGGAAUGCGUCGGAAUCUACCCUAUGGUGGGGGAUAACACAGGGAAACUUGUGCUAAUACCGUAUAAUGUCGAGAGACCAAAGCAGGGGACCGCAAGGCCUUGCGCGAUAGGAUGAGCCGACGCCCGAUUAGCUUGUUGGUAGGGUAAUGGCCUACCAAGGCGACGAUCGGUAGCUGGUCUGAGAGGAUGAUCAGCCACACUGGGACUGAGACACGGCCCCAGACUCCUACGGGAGGCAGCAGUGGGGAAUAUUGGACAAUGGGCGCAAGCCUGAUCCAGCAAUGCCGCGUGUGUGAAGAAGGCCUGCGGGUUGUAAAGCACUUUUGUUCGGGAAGAAAUCAUGCUGGUUAAUACCUGGUAUGGAUGACGGUACCGAAAGAAUAAGCACCGGCUAACUUCGUGCCAGCACGG